GUGUCAGCAGCCGCGGUAAGACGGAGGAUGCAAGCGUUAUCCGGAAUGAUUGGGCGUAAAGCGUCCGCAGGUGGCAAUUCAAGUCUGCUGUUAAAGCGCAGGGCUUAACUCUGUAAAGGCAGUGGAAACUGAAUAGCUAGAGUGUGGUAGGGGUAGAGGGAAUUCCCAGUGUAGCGGUGAAAUGCGUAGAGAUUGGGAAGAACAUCGGUGGCGAAGGCGCUCUACUGGACCAUAACUGACACUCACAGGACGAAAGCUAGGGGAGCGAAUGGGAUUAGAUACCCCCGUAGUCC
rnacentral:rRNA from 1 species